GAUGAACGCUGGCGGCGUGCUUAACACAUGCAAGUCGAACGGAGAAAGGGUAGCUUGCUAUCUUUUCUUAGUGGCGGACGGGUGAGUAACGCGUGGGUAACCUGCCUCAUACUGGGGGAUAACAGCUGGAAACGGCUGCUAAAACCGCAUAAGAUCGCAUCACCGCAUGGUGAGGCGGUUAAAUAUCGAAAGAUAGGUAUGAGAUGGGCCCGCGUCUGAUUAGCUAGUUGGUGAGAUAAGAGCCCACCAAGGCGACGAUCAGUAGCCGGCUUGAGAGAGUGACCGGCCACAUUGGGACUGAGACACGGCCCAAACUCCUACGGGAGGCAGCAGUGGGGAAUAUUGCACAAUGGGGGAAACCCUGAUGCAGCGACGCCGCGUGAGUGAAGAAGUGCUUCGGCAUGUAAAGCUCUAUCAGCAGGGAAGAAGAUGACGGUACCUGACUAAGAAGCCCGGUAACUACGUGCCAGCAGCCGAC
rnacentral:rRNA from 1 species